CAGGUCUUGACAUCCCUCUGAAUGGCGCUUAGCAGCGCAGGUCUUUCGGGACAGAGGAGACAGGUGGUGCAUGGUUGUCGUCAGCUCGUGUCGUGAGAUGUUGGGUUAAGUCCCGCAACGAGCGCAACCCUUGCCUUUAGUUGCCAUCACGUUAAGGUGGGCACUCUAGAGGGACUGCCGGUGACAAACCGGAGGAAGGUGGGGAUGACGUCAAAUCAUCAUGCCCCUUAUGAUCUGGGCUACACACGUGCUACAAUGGCCGGUACAACGAGAAGCGAAACCGCGAGGUGAAGCAAAUCUUCUAAAGCCGGUCCCAGUUCGGAUUGCAGGCUGAAACUCGCCUGCAUGAAGUUGGAGUUGCUAGUAAUCGCGGAUCAGCAUGCCGUGGUGAAUGCGUUCCC
rnacentral:rRNA from 1 species